rnacentral:rRNA from 1 species
GAUCAUGGCUCAGGAUGAACGCUAGCUACAGGCUUAACACAUGCAAGUCGAGGGGCGGCAUGGUCUUAGCUUGCUAAGGCCGAUGGCGGCCGGCGCACGGGUGAGUAACGCGUAUCCAACCUGCCUUACACUCUUGGACAGCCUUCUGAAAGGGAGAUUAAUACAAGAUGUUAUCAUGAGUAAGCAUUUUCGCAUGAUUAAAGGUUUACCGGUGUAAGAUGGGGAUGCGUUCCA